AUUUAAAUAGCUUAUAAUUAAAGUAUAAUAUUGAAGAUAUUAAGAAAAUUUAAUAAAAAUUUUUAAAUA
rnacentral:tRNA from 1 species